GACGAACGCUGGCGGCGUGCUUAACACAUGCAAGUCGAACGGUAAGGCCCUUCGGGGUACACGAGUGGCGAACGGGUGAGUAACACGUGGGUGAUCUGCCCUGCACUUCGGGAUAAGCCUGGGAAACUGGGUCUAAUACCGGAUAGGACCACUGCCUGCAUGGGUGGUGGUGGAAAGCUUUUGCGGUGUGGGAUGGGCCCGCGGCCUAUCAGCUUGUUGGUGGGGUGAUGGCCUACCAAGGCGACGACGGGUAGCCGGCCUGAGAGGGUGACCGGCCACACUGGGACUGAGAUACGGCCCAGACUCCUACGGGAGGCAGCAGUGGGGAAUAUUGCACAAUGGGCGCAAGCCUGAUGCAGUGACGCCGCGUGAGGGACGACGGCCUUCGGGUUGUAAACCUCUUUCAGCACCGACGAAGCGCAAGUGACGGUAGGUGCAGAAGAAGGACCGGCCAACUACGUGCCAGCCGCCGCAGUAA
rnacentral:rRNA from 1 species